ACUGGGCAACCUGCUCCAGCAGGGUCUCUCGUUGUUCGUGUAGCUUUUCACGUGCCUGGCGCUCUGCCAGGAAAUCUGUCUUGUAGAUAUCAGCCUGAAUGGAAAAGAUAGGAUAAAAACUGCUGGUGGCCCAUGU